ACGAACGCUGGCGGCGUGCUUAACCCCUGCAAGUCGCACGGAAAGGCCCUGCUUUUGUGGGGUGCUCGAGUGGCGAACGGGUGAGUAACACGUGAGUAACCUGCCCUUGACUUUGGGAUAACUUCAGGAAACUGGGGCUAAUACCGGAUAGGAGCUCCUGCUGCAUGGUGGGGGUUGGAAAGUUUCGGCGGUUGGGGAUGGACUCGCGGCUUAUCAGCUUGUUGGUGGGGUAGUGGCUUACCAAGGCUUUGACGGGUAGCCGGCCUGAGAGGGUGACCGGCCACAUUGGGACUGAGAUACGGCCCAGACUCCUACGGGAGGCAGCAGUGGGGAAUAUUGCACAAUGGGCGGAAGCCUGAUGCAGCAACGCCGCGUGCGGGAUGACGGCCUUCGGGUUGUAAACCGCUUUCGCCUGUGACGAAGCGUGAGUGACGGUAAUGGGUAAAGAAGCACCAGCUAACUACGUG
rnacentral:rRNA from 1 species